UAGUCCACACCGUAAACGCUGUCUACUAGCUGUUUGUGAGUUUAACUCGUGAGUAGCGUAGCUAACGCGCUAAGUAGACCGCCUGGGGAGUACGGCCGCAAGGUUAAAACUCAAAUGAAUUGACGGGGGCCCGCACAAGCGGUGGAGCAUGUGGUUUAAUUCGAUGCAACGCGAAGAACCUUACCUACACUUGACAUGCAGAGAACUUAGCAGAGAUGCUUUGGUGCCUUCGGGAACUCUGACACAGGUGCUGCAUGGCUGUCGUCAGCUCGUGUCGUGAGAUGUUGGGUUAAGUCCCGCAACGAGCGCAACCCUUGUCCUUAGUUGCCAUCAUUUAGUUGGGCACUCUAAGGAGACUGCCGGUGACAAACCGGGAGGAAGGUGGGACGACGUCAAGUCAUCAUGGCCCUUACGUGUAGGGGCUACACACGUGCUACAAUGGUAUGUACAGAGGGAAGCGAACUUGCGAGAGUAAGCGGAUCCCUUAAAGCAUAUCGUAGUCC
rnacentral:rRNA from 1 species